UGCGGGUUUUGUGAGGAAAAACCCCACACUUUUUUGUUUUGAGAUGGGAACAGAUGGUUCUGCCUCAGUGGGCACCUCUGAGUCCCAAGCGGGUUCAGGGUAGUUUUGGUUUGCAGGUAUCCAGAAUCUGUUGGCACCCAAGGAGGAGCCGUACAGUGCAGAGCAGUGAGGAUGUUUGGGGGACCGGAGUAUCAUUCUUAGGAGGAAAAGCUGAGGGAGUUGGGCCUGUUCAUUCUCGAGAAGAGACUACUGAGAAGGGACAUCAUAAUAAAUGACUAAAAGGAGGGGCAUGUGGGUGUGCCAGAGAUGGAGUCGGGCUCUUCUCAGUGGUGCCAAGCACCAGGAUGCGAGCUAGUGGGCAGAAACUGAUGCACAGGAAGUUCCACCUGAACAUGAGGAAGAACUUCUUUACUGUGUGGGUGACCACACACUGGAAGAAGUUGUACAGAGAGGUUGUAGAGUCUGCCUCACUGGAGAUACUCAAGAACAAUCCUGUGCUGUGUGCUCUAGGAUACCCCUGCUUGGACAGAUCACCCACAGUGGUCCGUUCCAACCAUACCUGUUCUGUGACUGUAAUUCUGUGACAGAGCACUCCACUGCAGGUGGCAUGUUCAGAGCCAGAGCACGGGACAGAGAAGAGGACGAAGUGGGGGAGAACAAGAAGGUGGCGCCCAGGUCAGUGGAAAAAGAAGCUGAGCAAGAGAAGAUCAGCAAACAGCUUUCAUGGGUGCCUGGUGUUUAGCCAGUGUCAAACCAUGACAUGGGCCAAGAUACAUCAUUCAUUUACCACAAUGAAGUUAAAAGAUACUGCUUUUCCUUUGUUCAAAAAAAAACCCCAACAUAUAAACCCCAACAAACCCAAGAAACAAGUGGCAUUCUUUUUUGUAUGACAAGCUUCACUCACUACUGCCUUGUGCCGGAAUUCGAAUGUCCUCAGAAGUGCUCUUUAGGGCAAGCGGUUCCUUUCUGCCCUCCCUGAGGAAAAAUGAGCCAAGCCUGGGCUCCUCCCACCUUAAAAAUAACUGCUGUUUGCAUGUGAACAAGAUUUGCUAGCUGAGCCUCUGGACUAUGAAAGAAUUUGACUAACAUUAAGUAGACUCCAAGCUGGUGGGGCAGAAGUGGGAAAAAAAAUUAACGCUCUUUCUUGGCAAUUGUAACUGUUAGCUGCUGUGGGCUAAGCCGUGAGAGUCAGGAAGUAAGAUGAAUGUCAUCUCCCUGUGCUCUCAGUGGAAAUCAUAGGGUGCCUCUGCAUUA